rnacentral:tRNA from 1 species
GGGCCGUUAGCUUAGUUUGGUAGAGCGCCUCGUUUGCAACGAGGAGGUCGCCAGUUCGAAUCUGGCACGGUCCA